UACGGAAGGCAGCAGUGGGGAAUAUUGCACAAUGGGCGCAAGCCUGGUGCAGCCAUGCCGCGUGUAUGAAGAAGGCCUUCGGGUUGUAAAGUACUUUCAGUCGUGAGGAAGGUGUUAAGGUUAAUAACCUUAGCAAUUGACGUUAGCGACAGAAGAAGCACCGGCUAACUCCGUGCCAGCAGCCGCGGUAAUACGGAGGGUGCGAGCGUUAAUCGGAAUUACUGGGCGUAAAGGGCACGCAGGCGGUUAAUUAAGUUGGAUGUGAAAUCCCCGGGCUUAACCUGGGAAUGGCAUUCAAGACUGGUUAGCUAGAGUCUUGUAGAGGGGGUAGAAUUCCAUGUGUAGCGGUGAAAUGCGUAGAGAUGUGGAGGAAUACCGGUGGCGAAGGCGGCCCCCUGGACAAAGACUGACGCUCAUGUGCGAAAGCGUGGGGAGCAAACAGGGAUUAGAUACC
rnacentral:rRNA from 1 species